GUUACUUCUUACGAAAAUGCUCCUAUAAUCGCUUCGAAGUAUUAGGAGAGCAGAAACGUCAGAAUAUAUAUAUGAAAGUGCAAUAUUAUUCGUGCACAAUGUAUGGUGUGACUAUUACGAAUUCAAAUAACCUUAAUGUGCUUAUAACUUGUAAGGAAACAAGAAAGAAAAAAUUAAAUGAAAUAUAUUAUUGAUGAAUUAUGUAAAGGCAUACCAUUAGUUUUAUUUAACUGUCUUCUCAGAAAUAUACAUUAAACAGAAAAACAGAGAUGAUGAGUAGAAGAUUGAUGUUAUGGAUUCUUGCACUGUUGCAAGUAUACAUACUUUGGAGAAUAAUAAUUGUUCGGGAUGCUAACAGGAUUGUCCCUGUACUUCAGAGAUAACAAGACAAGUCUGAUACAUAUAUUAAUAGAAAUGCAUUUAUGCUGAUUUCCAAAUGAUGAUGUCUUUAAAAAUGUAAAUAUAGGAACUUCCAAGAAUCCAGAACGAUGUGUCUAUCCAUAUUUUUCGUGUCUGCAAUGGAUCAUGCUGUGCA